rnacentral:rRNA from 1 species
GACGAACGCUGGCGGCGUGCUUAACACAUGCACGUCGAACGGAAAGGCCCUGCUUUUGUGGGGUGCUCGAGUGGCGAACGGGUGAGUAACACGUGAGUAACCUGCCCUUGACUUUGGGAUAACUUCAGGAAACUGGGGCUAAUACCGGAUAGGAGCUCCUGCUGCAUGGUGGGGGUUGGAAAGUUUCGGCGGUUGGGGAUGGACUCGCGGCUUAUCAGCUUGUUGGUGGGGUAGUGGCUUACCAAGGCUUUGACGGGUAGCCGGCCUGAGAGGGUGACCGGCCACAUUGGGACUGAGAUACGGCCCAGACUCCUACGGGAGGCAGCAGUGGGGAAUAUUGCACAAUGGGCGGAAGCCUGAUGCAGCAACGCCGCGUGCGGGAUGACGGCCUUCGGGUUGUAAACCGCUUUCGCCUGUGACGAAGCGUGAGUGGCGGUAAUGGGUAAAGAAGCACCGGCUAACUAUGUG